UUUCCUACGGGGGGCAGCAGUGAGGAAUAUUGGUCAAUGGGAGAGAUCCUGAACCAGCCAAGCCGCGUGAGGGAAGACGGCCCUAUGGGUUGUAAACCUCUUUUGUCGGAGAACAAAACCCGGGACGUGUCCCGGACUGCGUGUAUCCGAAGAAAAAGCAUCGGCUAACUACGUGCCAGCAGCCGCGGUAAUACGUAGGUGGCAAGCGUUAUCCGGAAUGACUGGGCGUAAAGGGAGCGUAGACGGCUAUGCAAGUCUGAAGUGAAAUGCCGGGGCUCAACCCCGG
rnacentral:rRNA from 1 species